GGACGAUCUGUAUCCAGCCAGAAAACUGGCACAGGUGCUGCAUGGCUGUCGUCAGCUCGUGCCGUGAGGUGUUGGGUUAAGUCCCGCAACGAGCGCAACCCUUGUCCUAUGUUAAACUCUCAUAGGAGACUGCCUUGUACAGCAAGGAGGAAGGUGAGGAUGACGUCAAGUCAGCAUGGCCUUUAUGCCCUGGGCCACACACACGCUACAAUGGACGCUACAAAGGGCUGCCAAGGAGCGAUCCGGAGCAAAUCCCAGAAAAGCAUCCCCAGUUCGGAUCGCAGGCUGAAAUUGCCUGCGNGAAGUCGGAGUUGCUAGUAACCGCAGGUCACUUAUACUGCGGUGAAUGCGUUCUCGGGCCUUGUACACACCUCCCGUCACGCCAUGGGAGCCGGAGAUGCCGCUAGUCGAUGAG
rnacentral:rRNA from 1 species